AAUAAGUUUAUUUUUCAGUUUUUAGAUACAAUCUUUGACUCUUCAUCUUAUUUGAAAAAUUUUCAUGAUUAAUAUUUUUAUUGUUACUAGAUGAUAAAACAUAAAUAAUAUUUUACGCGUUACUAAUUUUUUGAUUUUUUCAUAAAUUUUUCAAGUAAGACAGAUGGUUAAAUGUUGGACAUAAAAAUC
rnacentral:pre_miRNA from 1 species